rnacentral:rRNA from 1 species
GCUGGCGGCGUGCUUAACACAUGCAAGUCGAACGAAGCACUUAAGAAUGAUUCUUCGGAUGAAGUCUUAUUUGACUGAGUGGCGGACGGGUGAGUAACGCGUGGGUAACCUGCCUCACACAGGGGGAUAACAGUUGGAAACGACCGCUAAUACCGCAUAAGCCGACAGUAUCGCAUGAUACAGACGGAAAAGAUUUAUCGGUGUGAGAUGGACCCGCGUCUGAUUAGCCAGUUGGCAGGGUAACGGCCUACCAAAGCGACGAUCAGUAGCCGGCCUGAGAGGGUGAACGGCCACAUUGGGACUGAGACACGGCCCAAACUCCUACGGGAGGCAGCAGUGGGGAAUAUUGCACAAUGGGGGAAACCCUGAUGCAGCGACGCCGCGUGAGUGAAGAAGUAUUUCGGUAUGUAAAGCUCUAUCAGCAGGGAAGAAAAUGACGGUACCUGACUAAGAAGCCCCGGCUAACUACGUGCCAGCAGCCGCGGUAAUACGUAGGGGGCAAGCGUUAUCCGGAUUUACUGGGUGUAAAGGGAGCGUAGACGGUGAUGCAAGUCAGAAGUGAAAGCCCGCGGCUCAACUGCGGGACUGCUUUUGAAACUGUAUGACUGGAGUGCAGGAGAGGUAAGCGGAAUUCCUAGUGUAGCGGUGAAAUGCGUAGAUAUUAGGAGGAACACCAGUGGCGAAGGCGGCUUUCUGGACUGUAACUGACGUUGAAGGUCCAAAGCGUGGGGAGCAAACAGGAUUAAAUACCCCUGGUAGUCCACCCCGUAAACGAAAAAAUACUAGGUGUCAGGAAGCAAAGCUCUUUGGUGCGGCAGCCAAGGACAUAAGUAUUCCUCCUGGGGAGUACGUUCGCGAGAAUGAAAACUCAAAGGAAUUAACGGGGACCCGCACAAACGGUGGAGCAUGUGGUUUAAUUCGAAGCAACGCGAAGAACCUUACCAGGUCUUGACAUCUGGGUGACCGGGAAGUGACGUUCCCUUCUCUUCGGAGCAUCCAAGACAGGUGGUGCAUGGUUGUCGUCAGCUCGUGUCGUGAGAUGUUGGGUUAAGUCCCGCAACGAGCGCAACCCUUACCUUCAGUAGCCAGCGAGCAAAGUCGGGCACUCUGGAGGGACUGCCAGGGACAACCUGGAGGAAGGUGGGGAUGACGUCAAAUCAUCAUGCCCCUUAUGAUCUGGGCUACACACGUGCUACAAUGGCGUAAACAAAGGGAAGCGACCAUGUGAAUGCAAGCAAAUCUCAAAAAUAACGUCUCAGUUCGGAUUGUAGUCUGCAACUCGACUACAUGAAGCUGGAAUCGCUAGUAAUCGAAAAUCAGAAUGUCGCGGUGAAUACGUUCCCGG